AAGUGAAGACUGAGUCUGAAAUGGGAAAGACAUCCCCAUACAAGUCCAGCACAGGCUGUUAGAACUCUAUAUCUCUUGUUCUGGAAGCUUUGAAGUCCAAGAUGAAGGUGGCAGCAGCUUGAGUGUCUGGGUCCCCAGUUUGAAAUGUCUUGUUACUGCUGACAAGACCUGCAUGACUGACCAUUUGCUCCCUAAGAGAUGAAAACUGACAUUGCUUUGAAGUUCAAAAUGACAUUGCCAAAACAAGAAGAAAUGGAAAAUAACUGUAGCACGUUUAUGACAUUCGUUUCUUUCUCCACAUGAAACAUACAAUGAGAACACUUUAUAGAUGAAUUGUGUCUUCAAUUGAAUAGAGAAUGGUGGACUAGCUUUGGUUUUAUGGAAUUGGAUAAUUUGUCAUAGUUUCUGCCCCUGGAAAAAUGAGAACCCAAAGGAAAACAAGGGGAAAAACUUUAAAAAAAUCGUGAUAUAAUACACAGCUGAUAUUUUUGGUUCAUAGAAUACUUUAAAGUACAUAAUUUACAAAGCAAAUUACUAAAUUAUAAGAAAUGCUGUCAUCAUCAAUAAACAUUCACAGAGCUUCAGGUUUUAACACAAAGCAUUCCUCUUAUUUCAGGUGAUAUUAUUUAUGAAAAAAAUUACUUGGAGAUUGCUCCAAGGUUAUCACAUUCUUUUCUAACCACCAAUUAUUAUUUACUAUUAUUAGUUAUUAUUUAUAAAUACAUAUGAAUACACAAUGAAAGCAUGCUUUAUGUAUAGCAUAUAAAUAUAUUUGAACUUUACUUUCCCCACAUACUAUCUAUCCUGCAAUAUUACAACACCAGUAAAAGAGUAUCUAAAUAUUAAUUGCUCCUAUCACAAUAGUGGAAACUAGAAGAGAUAAGUUUUCCCAAAUCUGAGUAGAAAACCAUGGUU
rnacentral:lncRNA from 1 species